GCGGGUGUGGUGGAAUUGGUAGACACGCCGGAUUUAGGUUCCGGUGGCUUGCGCCUUGGGGGUUCGAGUCCCUUCACCCGCACCA
rnacentral:tRNA from 1 species